AGGUUUCUAUGAAGAGAGAUGUCACACUGCUUAAACAGGCUAGCCAAUCUCCUCAGAAGAUGGGACUUCGACAGAAUACCUGAUGUCAAAGGCAUUUGGGCUGAAGACAUAUGUUCUAUUGGUCAAUGUGAGGACCCAAAAUUAGGCUGGGAGAUAAACAUGCAAACUGCAUGCCUCCCACGUGAAAAUGGUUUUAAAUACUAAGUAAAUUAAGAAGUCACACUGCUCUGGAAGCCAGCUUAUCCUUUUGGACAUGAGACAUUUUCACGGAGGACAAAUGUUAGUCAUGCCUAAUGCAAAAAAUUAACUGGAGACUUACAGAUGGCAAAAUACAGAUUCUUUGACAAUUGGAAAGAUCAUCUCCUGACAGAACCCUGACUACCUCAAAGAAGAUGAUGAGCAUCGAAGAAGCUCCAUAUGGAGAUGGCUUCAAAUAUGGCAGACCAGCCCCCUAGGCAAAGAAAAUGCCCUCACUUCACAACAAAGAGAAUUCUGCCCAAAAUCAGCAAACUCAAAUGCAGGCCAAACUGACUGCUGAACUCUGCCAAAACAGGGCUGGAGAGUCCUUGGGAAAGGUAGCCUGAAGCAAGAGGACAUGUCUGAGGAGCUGUAUGAGACAAAGUGAGGUGUGCUGCAGAAGGGCUAGUCCUGGAGGAGCCUUGAUGUAGAUGGAGUGUUUUCAAGUGAUGGUAAAGGAUGGUUUUCUCCCUCACUGCUUCCCUUCUUCUCUCCCUCCCUACAUAUGGUCCUCUCUCCCUCUUUCUCUUUUGACCAUAGACUUCUAGUGGCUUUCUGUUCUUUGAUUCUCUUCAGGAUUUUACAACUGUCUCUUGUGUGUUUUGAGUUUAUAAAUUUUUUAAAAUUAAUCAAUUCAUUACACUGUAUUCACUUUGUAUCCCAGAUCUAGGCCCCUCCAUUAUCUCCUCCCAGUCUCAGCCAACCCUCCCUCUUCUCCCCCAUACCCCACUUUUACAACUGGCUCAUGUUAAUCAGUACUUGAAAUUCCCUUGUAUAUUUAUAGUCAAAGCAUUCUGUCUCUUGUCCACCCUUCCCUCUUGUAACAGCUAUUUGAUAACAUUUGUUUUUGCUGGACACCGUUUUUCUGUUCAGUUACUCAGAUUUGCUUGCCUUGUCAGACAGUGUUGACAUAGCAGUGAUAUAAGACAUAUCCCCUCAAUACAUAAAGAGGUAAAUGACACUCAUCAUAUUUAUCGGUUAUAGCACUUAGUUAUAGAGAACACAUGGAGGAAUUGUAGUAAGAAACAUUGUAUAGUGAGGGAUUAAGGAGUUCAGAAGACUGUGUUAGCAGAAGACACAUCUGGUGAGAGGUCCAAAAUGCGAAAUUUAAUUGCUGGGGUAACAUGAUUGUGGUCCUGAGUACAAGUUUAGACAAAGAAGCAGACAAGUUAGGACAGACCCUUGUGCCCAGCCUUGAGGCCCUUGAAAGGUAUCAUUGCUUGGCAGCCAGAACAGAUGGCGGGCAGUCUCCCAUACAGCUAGACCCUAGCUGGUGACCAAGGUCAUAUAGUCCUGCUACUAAGAAAAACAAACAAACAAACAAACAAACAAAAAAAAAAACAAGAUGUGCUAAUCAUUCCCCCUCCCUAACAGGAGCAGAUACCCUCCAGAUGCAUGGGCCAGGACCAUUAUGGCCUUGUUGCCAUAAUAAAAUAAAGGAAGGCUUGAAAGUUACCUGUUUGUUGUUUUUCCCUUUAAAAACCCUGUUCCUCCAGAACUCAGAGACACAUACCUCUCUUUUUCCACAGAGAUCUUGCACCUGAGCUUGGGCUUGUAUUAAAGUCUAAUAUGUUUGCAGUGGAGUCAAUUCCCUGUGGUCUUUGGGGGUCUCGAGAACUGGGCAUAACAUUGGUUACUGCUUUUGUUGGUAAACUUACAUGUACUGACAUACUGAGAGUGAAACCCGAGAGCCAGACCAUUCCCUCAAUUCCAG